rnacentral:rRNA from 1 species
AGUCGAACGAUNAACCCUUCGGGGUGAGUAAAGUGGCGAACGGGUGAGUAACACGUGGGCAAUCUGCCCCUCGCAGGGGGAUAACCGGGGGAAACCCCGGCUAAUACCCCGUACGCUUACGGAGCCGCAUGGUUCCGUAAGGAGAGGUAGCUUCGGCCAUCCGGCGAGGGAUGAGCCCGCGGUACAUUAGCUAGUUGGUGGGGUAACGGCCCACCAAGGCGACGAUGUAUAGCUGGUCUGAGAGGAUGAUCAGCCACACUGGGACUGAGACACGGCCCAGACUCCUACGGGAGGCAGCAAUCGGGAAUCUUGCGCAAUGGGCGAAAGCCUGACGCAGCAACACCGUGUGAGCGACGAAGGCCUUCGGGUCGUAAAGCUCUGUUGUUGGGGACGAAGGGCGAGGGGUUAAUAGCCCCGAGCUUGACGGUACCCUUCGAGGAAGCCCCGGCUAACUACGUGCCAGCAGCCGCGGUAAUACGUAGGGGGCGAGCGUUGUCCGGAAUUAUUGGGCGUAAAGAGCGUGUAGGCGGUUCGGUAAGUCUGCUGUGAAAACCCAGGGCUCAACCCUGGGCGUGCAGUGGAUACUGCCGGGCUAGAGGGUGGUAGAGGCGAGUGGAAUUCCCAGUGUAGCGGUGAAAUGCGCAGAUAUUGGGAGGAACACCAGUAGCGAAGGCGGCUCGCUGGGCCAUACCUGACGCUGAGACGCGAAAGCUAGGGGAGCGAACAGGAUUAGAUACCCUGGUAGUCCUAGCCGUAAACGAUGAACACUAGGUGUGGGCGGAGUCGAAUCUGUCUGUGCCGAACCAACGCGAUAAGUGUUCCNCCUGGGGAGUACNGGCCGCAAGGCUAAAACUCAAAGGAAUUGACGGGGGNCCNCACAAGCAGCGGANCAUGUUCUUUAAUUCGAUGCAACG